AAACCAAAAACCAUACUCAAGACUCAUUAUGACUAGCUCUAUGAAGAAAAUGAUUCUUAUCAUUUUCAUCACAACCAUGGUUUUAUCUCCGACAAGUUUUAUCUCUUGUCUCGCAGAUGUUCAUGCUACUGAAAGUCCCACCGAACCAGCAGCCUCUCACGUUACUGGAGGUGAUAAAGUAGCAUGUCCUGCUUGCCGCUGCUGUGAAGGCCCAAAACCUCCACCGGGAACUUGUUGCCGUUGUUGUUAAAUGUUAAUUAAGCUCAAAAAUCAACUUCCUCGUAAACUUUAGUUAAGCCUCUUAAUUACUAUUAGGGUUCAAUAUCUACUUAUGUUGUUGUAGUGUUGUGUAUUCGUACUUGUCUUGACCAAAUAAAAGUGUAGCUAGCCGCUUAAAUCCAUCCGUUGUUAGGAUGGUGCUUUGGCCAAAGUGAUUCGAAUAUACCUUUUAUACACAAA
rnacentral:misc_RNA from 1 species